UACGUAGGGUGCAAGCGUUGUCCGGAAUUACUGGGCGUAAAGCGUGCGCAGGCGGUUUUGUAAGUCUGUCGUGAAAUCCCCGGGCUUAACCUGGGAAUGGCGAUGGAGACUGCAAGGCUGGAAUCUGGCAGAGGGGGGUAGAAUUCCACGUGUAGCAGUGAAAUGCGUAGAGAUGUGGAGGAACACCGAUGGCGAAGGCAGCCCCCUGGGCUAAGAUUGACGCUCAUGCACGAAAGCGUGGGGAGCAAACAGG
rnacentral:rRNA from 1 species